UACGGAGGAUCCGAGCGUUAUCCGGAUUUAUUGGGUUUAAAGGGUGCGUAGGCGGUCUAUUAAGGCAGGGGUGAAAUACGGUGGCUCAACCAUCGCAGUGCCUUUGAUACUGAUGGGCUUGAAUCCAUUUGAAGUGGGCGGAAUAAGACAAGUAGCGGUGAAAUGCAUAGAUAUGUCUUAGAACUCCGAUUGCGAAGGCAGCUCACUAAGCUGGUAUUGACGCUGAUGCACGAAAGCGUGGGGAUCAAACAGG
rnacentral:rRNA from 1 species